rnacentral:rRNA from 1 species
AACGAACGCUGGCGGCAUGCCUAACACAUGCAAGUCGAACGAGACCUUCGGGCCUAGGGGCGCACGGGUGCGUAACGAGGGGGAAGCUGCCCUUGGGUUCGGAAUAACUCCCCGAAAGGGGUGCUAAUAACGGAUAAUGUCUUCGGAGCAAAGAUUUAUCGCCUUUGGAUGGGCCCGCGUUAGAUUAGCUAGUUGGUAGGGUAAAAGCCUACCAAGGCGACGAUCCAUAGCUGGUCUGUGAGGAUGAUCAGCCACACUGGGACUGAGACACGGCCCAGACUCCUACGGGAGGCAGCAGUAGGGAAUAUUGGACAAUGGGCGAAAGCCUGAUCCAGCAAUGCCGCGUGAGUGAUGAAGGCCUUAGGGUUGUAAAGCUCUUUUACCCGGGAUGAUAAUGACAGUACCGGGAGAAUAAGCUCCGGCUAACUCCGUG